CAGAGAGAGAGUAGUCUGACCUUGGAAAGGGGCUAUAUAGAGAUGAGGAAACAGCUUUGACAAGUAGAAGUUAAACCCUAGAUGGUCCAGGACUAUCUACCCACUGCUUAAUCUUCUUAAUAUGAAUAUUUCAGUAGAACUCCUUGUACACGGUGCAGACAAGAAUGACUUCUUUUCCUUGUCACCAGAAAUCUAAGUUCUAUGUAAUACCAACAGAUGUUUGAUGAUGAAAUAUGAUUUGCAUAUUCCCUGACUGCGAUGCCUUCCAUGCCACGGUAAUACUGCAAAACCACAUCCAUUGGGAAUGGAGGGUGGUUGUGAUUGAUGACUCAAGGAAAAGAAACG